rnacentral:rRNA from 2 species
GUCCAAAUUACUAAGGGCAUGUGGGGGAUGUCUUGGCACCAAAAGACGACGAAGGGCGCGGAAAACUGCGAUAAUCCCGGUGGAGCUGUUAAACAAGCGUUGAGACCGGGGUACCUGAAUGAGCAUACACUGAAUACAUAGGUGUAUGCGGCAAACUCGGAGAACUGAAACAUCUCAGUACCCGAAGGAAAAGAAAGAAAAAUCGAUUCCGUAAGUAGCGGCGAGCGAAAGCGGAACAGCCUAAACCAACUGGAAUUUCUAGUUGGGGUUGUAGGAUCAGACUUAAAGACUGAGUAUACCUAACCAAAGCGUCUGGAAUGUCGCACCAUAGACGGUGAAAGUCCCGUAGGUAAAAGGUAGAGACGGUUUGUCUGACACCUGAGUAGGGCCGGCCACGUGGAAUCCGGUUUGAAUCUGCGGGGACCAUCCCGCAAGGCUAAAUACUCUUUGGUGACCGAUAGCGAACUAGUAGCGCGAGCGAAAGAUGAGAAGAAACCCGAUAAGGGUAGGAUAGUGAACCUGAAACCACAUGCCUACAAGCGGUCGGAGCCCAGUGGCGCAAGCCCGGGUGACGGCGUGCCUUUUGCAUAAUGAUCCGGCGACUUACCGUCAUCAGCCAGGUUAAGCCGUUCUGCGGCGGAGCCGAAGCGAAAGCGAGUCUGAAUAGGGCGAAUGAGUUGGUGGCGGUAGACGCGAAACCACGUGAUCUACGCAUGGGCAGGAUGAAGUGAGGGUAACACCUCAUGGAGGUCCGAACUCACUAGUGUUGAAAAACUAGGGGAUGACCUGUGCGGAGGAUUGAAAGUAUCAUCAAACGUGGAGAUAGCUCGUUCUCUCCGAAAUAACUUUAGGGUUAACGUCGUGACAGAUGACAUUGGGGGUAGAGCGACUGAAUGCGCUGGGGGGCCUACCAGGCUACCCCUCGCAACCAAACUCCGAAUACCAAUGUACCUUAUCACGGCAGCUAGACGGUGGGGGAUAAGCUUCAUCGUCGAGAGGGGAACAACCCAGACCGCCCGCUAAGGUCCCUAAAUCAUGCUCAGUGCGAAAGGAAGUUGGAUUCCUGAGACAGCCAGGAUGUUGGCUUAGAAGCAGCCAUCAUUUAAAAAGUGCGUAAUAGCUUACUGGUCGAGGAGUCCUGCGCCGAUAAUGAACGGGACUAAGCAUGAUACCGAAGCGGCGGGUAUAGUAAUAUACGGUAGGAGAGCGUAGCACACUAGAUUGAAGGGGUACGGACAACGAGCCCUGGACGAAGUGCUAGUGAUCAUGCCGGAACGAGUAACGAUAAAACAGGUGAGAAUCCUGUUCGCCGAAAACCUAAGGUUUCCUGGGGAAGGUAAAUCCGCCCAGGGUUAGUCGGAACCUAAGAUGAGGCCGAAAGGCGUAGUCGAUGGACGGCAGGUUAAUAUUCCUGCACCGAUUUUGUAGACAAACUGAGUGACGCUGGCGAAGAUAAGAUCGGCCUGUUAGAUUAGGCCGUCCCGAAAGGGCGAGGGCGUUUACGAUCCCGAAGUCUUAAAAUUGACAGACAAGAAAAACCUCAGCGCGGACGAAACAAAACGCCCGUACUAAAACCGACACAGGUAGGUGAGAUGAAUAUUCUAAGGCGCUCGAGAGAACGCUCGUGAAGGAACUCGGCAACAUAACCCCGUAACUUCGGGAUAAGGGGUGCCCUCCUCCGGGAGGGCCGCAGUGAAAGGGGUCUAGCGACUGUUUACUAAAAACACAGGUCUCUGCGAAAUCGUAAGAUGAUGUAUAGAGACUGACGCCUGCCCGGUGUCGGCAAGUUAAGGAAGAGGGUUAGCCGUAAGGUGAAGCUCGCAACCGAAGCUCCGAUAAACGGCGGCCGUAACUAUGACGGUCCUAAGGUAGCGAAGUUCCUUGUCGGGUAAGUUCCGACCUGCAUGAAUGGCGUAACGACUGGACCACUGUCUCCACGAGCGACUCGGUGAAACUGUAGUUGUUGUGAAGAUGCAACAUACCCGCAAUUAGACGGAAAGACCCCGUGAACCUUUACUGCAGCUUAGUAUUGGGUUUAGAACCAGCAUGCGUAGCGUAGGUGGGAGGCUUUGAUCUAGGCGUUCAGGCGCCUAGGGAGCCAACAAAUGAAACACCACCCUUGCUGUUUUUGAAUUCUAACCCCGACCCAUGAAUCUGGGCGGCGGACAGUGCUAAGUGGGCAGUUUGACUGGGGCGGUCUCCUCCCAAAGAGUAACGGAGGAGUUCAAAGGUACCCUCAGCCCGGUCGGCAAUCGGGCAACGAGCGUAAAGGUAGAAGGGUGCUUGACUGCGAGUCUCAUCAGACGAGCAGGUGCGAAAGCAGGACUUAGUGAUCCGGCGGUGCUGGAUGGAAAGGCCGUCGCUCAACAGAUAAAAGGUACUCCGGGGAUAACAGGCUUAUCUCCUCUGAGCGUUCAUAGCGGCGAGGAGGUUUGGCACCUCGAUGUCGGCUCAUCGCAUCCUGGGGGUGGAGAAGCUCCCAAGGGUUUGGCUGUUCGCCAAUGAAAGCGGUACGUGAGCUGGGUUUAGACCGUCGUGAGACAGGUCGGUCCCUAUCUGUUGUGGGCGUAGGAUACUUGAGCAGUUUUUUCCCUAGUACGAGAGGAUUGGGAAGGACGUACCUAUGGUGUUCCUGUUGUCACGCUAGUGGCAUCGCAGGGUAGCCACGUACGGCUCGGAUAAACGCUGAAGGCAUAUAAGCGUGAAACCCUCUGCAAGAUUAGGUAUCCAUGUUCUUAGAACGAAGACUCCUUGAAGACCACGAGGUUGAUAGGCUGGGUGUGCAAGGCUAGCAAUAGUCUUAGCUGACCAGUACUAAUAGUCGAUUGUUUGGACGC